UUAAGUUCAGCGGGUAUUCCUACCUGAUCCGAGGUCAACCUUAAAAAAUGGGGGGUUUUACGGCAAGAACCCACUACAUGUCCUGAGCGAAGAGUAAACUACUGCACUCGGUAUAUAGCGAGCCCGCCACUGUUUCAGGGCCUGCGGCAGCCGCAGGUCCCCAACACAAGCCGGGGGCUUGAUGGUUGAAAUGACGCUCG
rnacentral:misc_RNA from 1 species